UACGUAGGGAGCAAGCGUUGUCCGGAUUUAUUGGGCGUAAAGAGCUCGUAGGCGGUUUAGAAAGUCAGGUGUGAAACCUCCAGGCUCAACCUGGAGACGCCACUUGAUACUUCUAUGACUUGAGUUCGGUAGGGGACCAUGGAAUUCCUGGUGUAGCGGUGAAAUGCGCAGAUAUCAGGAGGAACACCGAUGGCGAAGGCAGUGGUCUGGGCCGAUACUGACGCUGAGGAACGAAAGCGUGGGGAGCGAACAGG
rnacentral:rRNA from 1 species